GCGCCCUUCCCUGGCGUGAGGGUAUGUGCCUUUGGACUACAUCGUGGAAGCCAGCACCAUGCAGUCCAUGGGCAUAUACACUUGCCUCAAGGCCUAUGUCAUC
rnacentral:pre_miRNA from 1 species